rnacentral:rRNA from 1 species
AUUAAACGCUGGCGGCAUGCCUUACACAUGCAAGUCGAACGGCAGCACGAGGGCAACCCUGGUGGCGAGUGGCGAACGGGUGAGUAAAGCAUCGGAACGUGCCCUGGAGUGGGGGGAUAACGUAGCGAAAGUUACGCUAAUACCGCAUAUUCUGUGAGCAGGAAAGCAGGGGAUCGCAAGACCUUGCGCUCUGGGAGCGGCCGAUGUCGGAUUAGCUAGUUGGUGGGGUAAAGGCCUACCAAGGCGACGAUCCGUAGCGGGUCUGAGAGGAUGAUCCGCCACACUGGGACUGAGACACGGCCCAGACUCCUACGGGAGGCAGCAGUGGGGAAUUUUGGACAAUGGGCGAAAGCCUGAUCCAGCCAUGCCGCGUGAGUGAAGAAGGCCU